rnacentral:rRNA from 1 species
UACGUAGGGGGCAAGCGUUGUCCGGAAUCAUUGGGCGUAAAGCGCGUGUAGGCGGCUUCGUAAGUCCGUUGUGAAAGUCCAGGGCUCAACCCUGGAAUGCCGAUGGAUACUGCGGAGCUAGAGUCCGGAAGAGGCGAGUGGAAUUCCUGGUGUAGCGGUGAAAUGCGCAGAUAUCAGGAAGAACACCCGUGGCGAAGGCGGCUCUCUGGGACGGUACUGACGCUGAGACGCGAAAGCGUGGGGGAGCGAACAGG